GCCUUUGUUUGGGUCACAGAAUAUCUUGAAUGCAGAGCUCACACAGGUUGUGAUAGGCUUUACUUCUAUCACUAACUGGAAACAAAGAAAAUCUACACUGAAGGAAACCUUUUCAAGUCGAACUUCUGUCAAGCAAUUGGAGGAGCAUGUGGUUUUGUGGUAGUGCAUUCAAUAAAUAUGGACCAGUUCUGUGCUAGGAGUUUAGGAUACAUGUUGGUUUAUAGUCUAGCUGGGACAAAAAAAAAAAAAAAACCACAGAGUAAGUUUUCUGAUAAGCAAGUUAAAUCACACAUGACAAGC
rnacentral:lncRNA from 10 species